rnacentral:rRNA from 1 species
GGGCCCGCACAAGCGGUGGAGUAUGUGGUUUAAUUCGAUGCAACGCGAAGAACCUUACCAGGGUUUGACAUCCUGCGAAUCUCUUGGAAACAGGAGAGUGCCUUCGGGAACGCAGUGACAGGUGGUGCAUGGCUGUCGUCAGCUCGUGUCGUGAGAUGUUGGGUUAAGUCCCGCAACGAGCGCAACCCUCACUUUUAGUUGCCAUCAUUAAGUUGGGCACUCUGAAAGAACUGCCAGUGAUAAGCUGGAGGAAGGUGUGGAUGACGUCAAGUCAUCAUGCCCCUUACAUCCUGGGCUACACACGUACUACAAUGCUACGGACAAAGGGCAGCAAGUUCGCGAGGACAAGCAAAUCCCAUAAACCGUGGCUCAGUUCAGAUCGUAGGCUGCAACUCGCCUACGUGAAGGCGGAAUCGCUAGUAAUCG